rnacentral:lncRNA from 1 species
GGGCACAACCAGUACAGGUACUGUCUCCCCAUGUGUGUCUGGUUGCAUACGCCUGAGUUCUAUACAAUGUGUAUAUAUGCUAGGCUUGUAUGAUCUGUAUAGUAUAUAGGAAGUACAUAUGAACCUAGAGCUAAUUCUUAGUAUUUCUUCCUAGCUUAGUUAUCUUGAGAUAAAUCAUGUGUGUGUCACACUAUCUAUCUAUCUUACCCCUACCUUUAGUAUUGUCUCUAUCUAUCUAUGGUAUACUCAUAUGCAUAGUAAACUC